rnacentral:rRNA from 1 species
GUGGAAAAACUCCCUUGACGGUACUUAAUGAAUAAGCCCCGGCUAAUUAUGUGCCAGCAGCCGCGGUAAUACAUAAGGGGCGAGCGUUAUCCGGAAUUAUUGGGCGUAAAGGGUGCGUAGGCGGUUUAAUAAGUCUAUAGUUUAAUUUCAGUGCUUAACGCUGUUGUGCUAUAGAAACUGUUUUACUAGAGUGAGUUAGAGGCAAGCGGAAUUCCAUGUGUAGCGGUAAAAUGCGUAAAUAUAUGGAGGAACACCAGAGGCGUAGGCGGCUUGCUGGGACUUUACUGACGCUGAGGCACGAAAGCGUGGGGAGCAAACAGGAUUAGAUACCCUGGUAGUCCACGCCGUAAACGAUGAGUACUAAGUGUCGGGUAAAACCGGUACUGAAGUUAACACAUUAAGUACUCCGCCUGAGUAGUACGUACGCAAGUAUGAAACUUAAAGGAAUUGACGGGACUCCGCACAAGCGGUGGAUCAUGUUGUUUAAUUCGAAGAUACACGAAAAACCUUACCAGGUCUUGACAUUUUCUUGCGAAGUUAUAGAAAUAUAAUGGAGGUUAUCAGGAAAACAGGUGGUGCAUGGUUGUCGUCAGCUCGUGUCGUGAGAUGUUAGGUUAAGUCCUAAAACGAGCGCAACCCUUGUCGUUAAUUGCCAGCAUGUAAUGAUGGGGACUUUAACGAGACUGCCAAUGAAAAAUUGGAGGAAGGUGGGGAUUACGUCAAAUCAUCAUGCCCCUUAUGAUCUGGGCUACAAACGUGAUACAAUGGUUGAUACAAAGAGUAGCUGAAACGCGAGUUCUUAGCCAAUCUCACAAAAUCAAUCUCAGUUCGGAUUGAAGUC